UACGUAGGUGGCAAGCGUUAUCCGGAAUUAUUGGGCGUAAAGCGCGCGCAGGUGGUUUCUUAAGUCUGAUGUGAAAGCCCACGGCUCAACCGUGGAGGGUCAUUGGAAACUGGGAGACUUGAGUGCAGAAGAGGAAAGUGGAAUUCCAUGUGUAGCGGUGAAAUGCGUAGAGAUAUGGAGGAACACCAGUGGCGAAGGCAGCUCGCUGGGACGUGACUGACGCUGAGACGCGAAAGCGUGGGGAGCAAACAGG
rnacentral:rRNA from 1 species